UGCAGCGGUGCAGACGUUUGUGUUUGGGUCACAGCUGGAGCAGCCUGAUGUAGACUUCCCCCCCCCAUCGGAACAUUUUCUCUGUUCACAGCUGUCUGUUUGUUUUUACGAACUGGAAAUUAUCCUUUUGUGUGAGUGCUUUAAUUUUCCGUUGAAGAAGAGUUACCUGGGGGGGUCAGCCCCGCCAUGGCGCCCCCACUCUCACACACACACUCCCCCGUGUUAUCUGACUGAGGGCACAGAUGGACGUGAGCAACUACUGGACCUACUGCGUCAUCACUGCCGCGAGACACAGGUGACAGGAGUCGGGUGCACGCGGGAAAAACUACAGGCUGUUAGUGGGUCGGCACACCACAGACAAGUUUCUGAAGACUUGUUUGAAGACCACGUACGCAAACAUCGGCGCAAUGAAUGAGAGGCAGGCUCUCCACUCUAUAAUGAAGGACCUGGUUGCCCUCCAGAUGACGCGGCGCCAGCCUGUGUUGUCGUAUGACACCGGCAAACCCAAGACACCGGCCCAGGCCAAAAGACAGG